rnacentral:rRNA from 1 species
AUUGAACGCUGGCGGCAGGCCUAACACAUGCAAGUCGAACGGUAACAGGAAACAGCUUGCUGUUUCGCUGACGAGUGGCGGACGGGUGAGUCAUGUCUGGGAAACUGCCUGAUGGAGGGGGAUAACUACUGGAAACGGUAGCUAAUACCGCAUAACGUCGCAAGACCAAAGAGGGGGACCUUCUGGCCUCUUGCCAUCGGAUGUGCCCAGAUGGGAUUAGCUAGUAGGUGGGGUAACGGCUCACCUAGGCGACGAUCCCUAGCUGGUCUGAGAGGAUGACCAGCCACACUGGAACUGAGACACGGUCCAGACUCCUACGGGAGGCAGCAGUGGGGAAUAUUGCACAAUGGGCGCAAGCCUGAUGCAGCCAUGCCGCGUGUAUGAAGAAGGCCUUCGGGUUGUAAAGUACUUUCAGCGGGGAUGAAGGGAGUAAAGUUAAUACCUUUGCUCAUUGACGUUACCCGCAGAAGAAGCACCGGCUAACUCCGUG